GGCCUUUUUGGUUGCAUUAUUUAGUACCAUAUGAGCAGCAGCACCAACUGGUUCCCCAUCACUGUCUGUAGCACUUUAUGCAUACUCCUACAGACUUCUGAUCUUUAUUUUGUCGAAAUGCCACACUGAUGAAAAAACUUUCCCAAAAAAAAUUAAAUCCAUACUGUUGCCAUAAAAAAAAGAAGAUAAAAAAAAAAUAAAUCAAAACUAUACCUAUGGGAAUUGCAGCUUUCAUGAAGAAGUUUAUGUUGAUUUUCUUGAAACAACAAGAAGCAAGUUUAUUAUCUGAAUUCCAGAGGGCCUUGUACAUGUUGUGUUGUUUACAACAGAGGCAUUUUUGUGUUGCAAAGUUAUAUUGGAGGAUUUUAUUUAUUUAUUUUUGGUGCCGCUCAUUGGCGAAAAUAUCUUUUCUAUUUUCAGCAACUCAGAAGCCUUUAGACUGCUCAUUCUCAGUGGCGAGGAGUUCUUAUUGCUUACUCCAAGUUUUUGUUGUUUUAGCAGUUUCAGGGGAUUUUUCUUUUUUCAUUUGUUUUUGAAGAACAAAUACUCCCGCUUCUAUUAAUUUUCAGUGGAGUCUUUGAAACUUGGGUUGUAAUUUCCAAAGCUUUAAUCCUUGGAAAUAAGUUUUAGGCAUGGAUGAAUGGGAGCUAUAAUCGAUUGAUUUUAUUUAUUUAUUUAUUUUUUUGAAACUAUUCGAUUUAUUAUUGUAAAUAUUAUUCGCGGCAGUUUGAUGCAUGUGAAAGGGCUACAUAGGCAUGUAUUUUUAUUUUUUUAUAGGAAAACAAUCACUAGGCAUAAUCAACUUCCUAAGAGGAAUGUGAAAUCAAGUGGGUCUUGACCAAAAGUCAGGUGGGCCUUGACCAAAAGGGUCAAUGAUAAGGUCCAUCAUUUUAUGAGUUGGAGAGGUAGAACUCAUAAAAUGGGACUCAUUGUGAGUCGGGCAUCUAUUUU